rnacentral:rRNA from 1 species
UACGAAGGGGGCUAGCGUUGUUCGGAAUCACUGGGCGUAAAGCGCACGUAGGCGGAUUGUUAAGUGAGGGGUGAAAUCCCGGGGCUCAACCCCGGAACUGCCUUUCAUACUGGCAAUCUCGAGUUCGAGAGAGGUAAGUGGAAUUCCGAGUGUAGAGGUGAAAUUCGUAGAUAUUCGGAGGAACACCAGUGGCGAAGGCGGCUUACUGGAUCGAUACUGACGCUGAGGUGCGAAAGCGUGGGGAGCAAACAGGAUUAGAAACCCCCGUAGUCC